rnacentral:misc_RNA from 1 species
GAUGAAGAACGCAGCGAAAUGCGAUAAGUAAUGUGAAUUGCAGAAUUCAGUGAAUCAUCGAAUCUUUGAACGCACAUUGCGCCCGCCAGUAUUCUGGCGGGCAUGCCUGUUCGAGCGUCAUUUCAACCAUCAAGCCCUGAUUGCGUUGGGGUCCUGCGGCUGCCCGCAGGCCCUGAAAACCAGUGGCGGGCUCGCUAGUCACACCGAGCGCAGUAAUACAUCUCGCUUUGGGCGUGCGGCGGGUUCUUGCCGUUAAACACCCCCUUUUUACCAAGGUUGACCUCGGAUCAGGUAGGAAUACCCGCUGAACUUAAGCAUAUCAAUAAGCGGAGGA